rnacentral:lncRNA from 1 species
UCGAUGUGAGAUUUCCAACCAGAAUAAGUUAUAACAGUUUGAAAGCAUGUGUGAAUGUGAAGUUGUAUGGUUGUUGAAAUAGCAAAGUAAAGGAUUGCAUGGCAUGGAAGGUGAAUAAUGGGAGUGUUAUAUAAAUUAUUGGAAGAGAGGGAAAAGAAGAGUUGGCAUAUGAGAGGAUAGAGAUUAGAGAAAUUAAGAAAAAGAAAGUGUAAAGCUAAGUAGCUGGAAAUGAGGGAAAUGCUGUUAAAGUGAGGGACAAGAAGACAAGGCCUGGGCUUGAAAUGCACGCAUGCUUUGCCUACUAACAGCAAUUUCCCUACUCACCAUAACCUAAAACCUCUCUAUCUCAGACACGCCAACCUGUUUUCCAACCUUUUCCUUUCUUUCGACUCACUAACACAAUGUUUUCCUUCCCUUUUUCUUUAUUGCAUCCCUUUUCUUAUUGCCAUUCUUUUCUGUGACCUUUAUCAAUCUUUGUGUACACAUUAUACAACCUCUGUCUUUUUCCAACGAACCACCUAAAGUGCCUACUCACCCUUCCAAUCUCCAUCUCUCAUUCUUUUAUAUAAUUCUUACACUCCCCACAUUCACCACAACAUAUAAACUUCUUCCACAAUCAACAACCAUCACCAUUCUUUAUAAUCUCAAUUCAUUAUAACGGCAACUACUCUUUGGUGUUCAAAUUAGGAAAAUGAUAUUUUGACACCAAUUUUUUGACACUAUUUUGACACUGC